UUCCGGUUGAUCCCGCCGGAGGUUACUGCUAUCGGUGUUCGCCUAAGCCAUGCGAGUCAUAUGUAGCAAUACAUGGCGUACUGCUCAGUAACACGUGGAUAACCUGCCCUUGGGACCGGCAUAACCCCGGGAAACUGGGGAUAAUUCCGGAUAACGCAUAUGUGCUGGAAUGCUUUAUGCGUAAAAUGGAUUCGUCUGCCCAAGGAUGGGUCUGCGGCCUAUCAGGUAGUAGUGGGUGUAAUGUACCUACUAGCCAGCGACGGGUACGGGUUGUGAGAGCAAGAGCCCGGAGAUGGAUUCUGAGACAUGAACCCAGGCCCUACGGGGCGCAGCAGGCGCGAAAACUUUACAAUGCGGGAAACCGUGAUAAGGGGACACCGAGUGCCAGCAUCAUAUGCUGGCUGUCCAGGUGUGUAAAAUACACCUGUCAGCAAGGGCCGGGCAAGACCGGUGCCAGCCGCCGCGGUAACACCGGCGGCCCGAGUGGUGAUCGUGAUUAUUGGGUCUAAAGGGUCCGUAGCCGGUUUGGUCAGUCCUCCGGGAAAUCUGAUAGCUUAACUAUUAAGCUUUCGGGGGAUACUGCCAGACUUGGAACCGGGAGAGGUAAGAGGUAC
rnacentral:rRNA from 1 species